GUGCUCGCUUCGGCAGCACAUAUACUAAAAUUGGAACGAUACAGAGAAGAUUAGCAUGGCCCCUGUGCAAAAAUGUGAUUAUAUUUUAUUCAUUUCUUGAUAAUCUAU